UUGGGCAUUAUAGCUUAUUAUUUGCGUCGUGACGCAAAUAAUGAGCUAUAAUGCCCAAUAAACCCCUACUACGGGGCCCAUUUCCCAUAGAGGGUGCCAGGCCCGUAGCGACGGAGGACGUCGGCGAGAGGAACUCUCCUCAGAGUCGGGUUGCUUGAGAGUGCAGCCCUAAGUGCGUGGUAAACUCCAUCUAAGGCUUAAUAUUACCGCGAGACCGAUAGAGAACAAGUUGAAAAGAACUUUGAAGAGAGAGUUCAACAGUACGUGAAACCGCUCAGGGGUAAACCUGCGAAACUCGA
rnacentral:ncRNA from 1 species